GUCUACAGCCACACCACCCUGAAGAUCCCCAAUCUCGCCUGAUCUUGGAAACUAAGCAGGGUUGGGCCUGGCUAGUACUUGGAUGGGAGAAAGCCACUUGUUGAGAAGUCUGGGAACCACAAUUU
rnacentral:rRNA from 1 species